rnacentral:rRNA from 1 species
AGUGAACGCUGGCGGUAGGCCUAACACAUGCAAGUCGAACGGCAGCACAGUAAGAGCUUGCUCUUACGGGUGGCGAGUGGCGGACGGGUGAGGAAUACAUCGGAAUCUACUUUUUCGUGGGGGAUAACGUAGGGAAACUUACGCUAAUACCGCAUACGACCUACGGGUGAAAGCAGGGGAUCUUCGGAACUUGCGCGAUUGAAUGAGCCGAUGUCGGAUUAGCUAGUUGGCGGGGUAAAGGCCCACCAAGGCGACGAUCCGUAGCUGGUCUGAGAGGAUGAGCAGCCACACGGGAACUGAGACACGGUCCAGACUACUACGGGAGGCAGCAGUGGGGAAUAUUGGACAAUGGGCGCAAGCCUGAUCCAGCCAUACCGCGUGGGUGAAGAAGGCCUUCGGGUUGUAAAGCCCUUUUGUUGGGAAAGAAAAGCAGCAGGUUAAUACCCCGCUGUUCUGACGGUACCCAAAGAAUAAGCACCGGCUAACUUCGUG